GGUGAUUAGUGACAGAGUGAGUGAGGGGGUGACUAGUGACAGAGUGAGGGAGCGGGUGACACAGUGACAGAGUUAGGGAGGGAGUGACUAGUGACAGAGAGAGGGAUGGGGACUAGUGACAGUCACCCCCUCCCUCACUCUGUCACUAGUCACUACCUCCCUCUGUCACUAGUCACUACCUCCCUCUGUCACUAGUCACUCCCUCACUCUGUCACCAUUCAUCCCCUCACUCUGUCACCAGUCAUCCCCUCACUCUGUCACUAGUCACCUCUUCCCUCCCUCACUUUGCCACUAGUCACCUCUUCCCUCCCUCACU